CUCGUAGAGAAGAGGUAUCGAGGACCUCCGAGUUCAGCUUACGGUCCUGACAUCUUGGUCGCGCAUUCUCUGCGCGCAUACUCGGCGCGGUACAUGAAACGCGUUCCAAUCUGUACUAGCUGGUAGAACGUCUCAGGGAGUCAAGGAGAGCACUCGCGAGUCAAGCAGGGCCCAAAUUUGUUAAUAGAAAACUAAGGAACAGUUCGGUUCUGAGCACACACGUUCCAGCUGCCGAAGGACGUUCGUAAUCUAAAAAUUUUCAAACUUCACGAUCUACAAUGUUAAACUUAGCCGUUCACUAAACGAAGAGUAAAAAUAUUCAUGCAAAAAUUGCAAUUGGUUGGGCUGACGGAAAAAAACGUAUUUGUAACUUGUAUGCAUGCUGAAAAUGUCAACGAAAUCAGCUAUCGUUGUUAUGAAAUACAAACAACUUGAGAUUUAGAAAAUUGGAGCUCUUCACGAUUUUCGAUCAGUUUAACAGUUUCUACCAAUAACUUAAACAUGUACGUUGCCGAUAUCUACAAAACGUAUUGUUUUACCCUUGCACUAUGAGAACGUGUCAGACUUGUGAUGAAGAUUUCAUAUUACAUAUAAUCUAUUAUACAUAUACGAAUGUUAUUAAUUUCGUCUAGAUGGAUACAAAAUUUGGUUUUUCUGUUACCAAAAUCAAGAUGAUUUCUUGCUUGAACCUUUUUGAAAAUACAUUUUACUUAAUGAACAUUUUGCGUGAACUGACCAAGAUGAAAUCGGAAUUUGUGAUACAUAAAUAGCAAUAACAAAAUUUUGUAAGCAUCUAUGGUAUACAUUCAUUUAUAACGUUUCAAAUAUAGAUUAUGCACCGUUCAAGAAUUAAAAGUUGUAAACGAUACUGCCUAAUGUGACGUUAACUUCGGCAAGAAUAUAAUGAAAAAUUAACAAAAACUGAGGAGGAGAUUAUAUUACAAAUUGUUGUCGAAAAUAGAAAACAGUUUCACAACAUAAAAAAACAAACAUUAUCCAAAAAUAUAUCAAAUAUUUUAACGAGCUUUUUGAAGAGAUAUUUCUUUUCGGCUCUAGAACAGUAUUUUUGUAUAUAUCUACAUACAUAAAUAUCUAUAUUAUUUUUAAGUGUGUGGAAUAAUGUCUUAAACGAAAGUUGUACUGUUCGACUAAAUUAAUAUAAUGGCAAGGAAAACAUAUUUUUUAUUGUCAGUUUUCGAAACUUUAAGCUCAUAUUUCUUUCUUUUACUUUAUUUUCGGAUUUUCCUUCCGUAUCAUUAUAAAACAUGGAAAGACAAAUUCAACGUUGUAUAAACAUGCACUAUAUCUGCGAUGCACUAUAAUUGAGAAAAUUAAGUUCCAAAAAUAUAUUUUUUUUCCACA